GAAUGAGUUAUGACAGAACGAAGAAUGUUUAAAUUGUGCUCAGCACACAGUAGUCACAUAGUGAAGGAAUAAAGGGACCAAUUUUCAGGCAACCCAGGGACAUUAGUCACCGUUUAUACGCCAACUAUCAAUACGGCCAGCACGAGUCAUACUUAGAUGUUCAUCAAUGCCAUUCCCUUCCAGCCUUCCAGUAGACGUUUAGCUACCAAUUCGUAUGAAACGGAAAGAAAAUGAAUAAAGAUUUUAGUUACCCUAUGAACUUAAAAGGAAUACAAUUGCAUUUCUCUUAAAUAAUAAUAGCGCAGACAGUAGAGACUCUCUUACUUCUCUCACUUCAGUCUCUCACUUCCCCCCAGCUAGCCUUCCGCAUAAAGCCACACACCAUUAAUUCAAAUUUCACCUUCAAAAAUUCACAUUUCUAAAUUAACUACCAUUGAACUGUGGGCUUUGACCUAUCGGCAUACUGCUUUAACUUUCAAAGGUCUGCAUCACAGCUGCAACUGACAUGGAUGUAUCCGGAAUCAAGAGGCAUCCGGUCCCCUUGGCAUUUCUAGGGCGCGGUGGCCACAUCGGCUAUUUUAUUUACCGUCCUUUGAAAGCCUUAGUAAUGCUAAAAGCUCAGCACUGUAAUCAUACUUGGUUAGCUCGAGACUAAUUAGUCAUUCGAUGCCAUUUAUUUGUCAUGAAGAUUGCUUUCCAAAUUACCAGUUUAUUUAGCCUUCACUAAUAAUUAUUUCACAAGGGCUUUUUCACCACUGUUCAUUUGCAUGUGUAGAAUUUACUCAUUGAGAAUGAACUAAAGAUGGAAUUUUUUUUUUUUUUUUAGUUGAAGUUGAACUGGAAUGGUGUUUGAUUUACUCUGCCAGAUCGCUCCUUCUGUGAAGACAGCCCUCUGCAAACCCAGAAGACUGUUCUCAGCAGAACCCAGCCAUGCUGGCGCCCUGAUGUGGGACUUCCCAGCCUCCUGAACUGUGACAAAUAAAUCUCUGCUGCGUAAG